rnacentral:rRNA from 1 species
UACGUAGGGGGCUAGCGUUGUCCGGGAUCAUUGGGCGUAAAGCGCGUGUAGGCGGUCCGGUAAGUCCGCUGGGAAAGUCGGGGGCUCAACCCUCGAAUGCCGGUGGAUACUGUCGGGCUAGAGUGCGGAAGAGGCGAGUGGAAUUCCUGGUGUAGCGGUGAAAUGCGCAGAUAUCAGGAAGAACACCCGUGGCUAAGGCGGCUCUCUAGUACGGUACUGACGCUGAGACGCGAAAGCGUGGGGAGCGAACAGG